GCCAAGCCCGGUGGUGCAUGCCUAUAAUCCCAGUUCCAGCUACUCAGGAAGCUGAGACAGAAGGAUCACUUGAGCCCAGGACUUCUGGGCUGAAGUCAGCUCUGCCUAUCAGGUUUUCACACUAAGUUCAGCAUCGAUAUGGUGACUUCCUGGGAGCAGCGGCCCACCAGGUUGCCUAAGAAGAGGUGAACUGGCCCAGGUUGGAAACAGAGUAGGUCAAAACUCUUAUGCUGAUCAGUAGUGGGAUUAUCCCUGUGAAAAGCCACUGCACUCCAGCCUAGGUGACAUAGUGAGACUCCU
rnacentral:SRP_RNA from 10 species